rnacentral:rRNA from 1 species
UUGAACGCUGGCGGCAUGCCUUACACAUGCAAGUCGAACGGUAACGCGGGGCAACCUGGCGACGAGUGGCGAACGGGUGAGUAACGCAUCGGAACGUGCCCAGUAGUGGGGGAUAGCCCGGCGAAAGCCGGAUUAAUACCGCAUACGACCUACGGGUGAAAGGGGGGGAUCGCAAGACCUCUCGCUAUUGGAGCGGCCGAUGUCAGAUUAGGUAGUUGGUGGGGUAAAAGCCUACCAAGCCGACGAUCUGUAGCUGGUCUGAGAGGACGACCAGCCACACUGGGACUGAGACACGGCCCAGACUCCUACGGGAGGCAGCAGUGGGGAAUUUUGGACAAUGGACGCAAGUCUGAUCCAGCCACUGCCGCGUGCGGGACGACGGCCUUCGGGUGUAAACCGCUUUCUGUCAGGAAGAAUCUGAGCUAACUAGGGGGACGGUACCUGACAGGAAUAAGCAUCGGCUAACUACGUGCCAGCAGCCGCGGUAAUACGUAGGAUGCGAGCGUUGUCCGGAGUUACUGGGCGUAAAGCGUGUGCAGGCGGCGUCUUGCGUCUGAGGUGAAAUCUCCCGGCUUAACUGGGAGGGGGCCUUGGAUACGGGGGCGCUUGAGGGCUGGAGAGGGAAGUAGAACUCCCGGUGGACCAGUGAAAUGGGUAGAGAUCGGGAAGAAUACCCGAGGUGAAGACGACUUCCUGGCCAGUACCUGACGCUCAGACACGAAAGCGUGGGGAGCAAACAGGAUUAGAUACCCUGGUAGUCCACGCUGUAAACGAUGUCCACUAGGUGUGCGGGGUAUCGACCCCCCGCGUGCCGGAGCUAACGCACUAAGUGGACCGCCUGGGGAGUACGGCCGCAAGGUUAAAACUCAAAGGAAUUGACGGGGACCCGCACAAGCAGCGGAGCGUGUGGUUUAAUUCGAUGCGACGCGAAGAACCUUACCUGGGUUCAAUGCGAGUUGCACCAUCCGUAAUGGGAUGUCCCCGCAAGGGGCGGCUCGCACGGUGCUGCAUGGCUGUCGUCAGUUCGUGCCGUGAGGUGUUGGGUUAAGUCCCCUAACGAACGCAACCCCCGGUGCCGGUUAUCCAUCCGGCGCAACUGCCGCGCAGAACGCGGAGGAAGGUGGGGAUGAUGUCAAGUCAGCACGGCCCUUACGCUCAGGGCUACACACACGCUACAAUGGCCGGGACAAUGAGUUGCAAACCUGCAAGGGGGAGCUAAUCUAGUAAACCCGGUCUCAGUUCGGAUAGCAGGCUGCAACCCGCCUGCUUGAAGUCGGAGUUGCUAGUAAACGCUGGUCAGCACACAGCGUUGAAUACGUUCCCGGGUCUUGUACACACCGCCCGUCACACCACGAAAGCGGGGAACACCUGAAGCCGGGUAAUGAACCUUCGGGACACGCCUGUCGAGGGUGGGCUUCGUGAUUGGGGUG